ACUCCUACGGGAGGCAGCAGUGGGGAAUAUUGCACAAUGGGGAGACCCUGAUGCAGCAACGCCGCGUGGAGGAUGACACAUUUCGGUGCGUAAACUCCUUUUAUAUAGGAAGAUAAUGACGGUACUAUAUGAAUAAGCGCCGGCUAACUCCGUGCCAGCAGCCGCGGUAAUACGGAGGGCGCAAGCGUUACUCGGAAUCACUGGGCGUAAAGAGCGUGUAGCGGAUCGAUAAGUCAGGAGUGAAAU
rnacentral:rRNA from 1 species